rnacentral:tRNA from 1 species
GCGGGAGUAACUCAGUGGCUAGAGUCACGGCCUUCCAAGCCGUUGGUCGCGGGUUCGAAUCCCGUCUCCCGCUCCU